GAGCUCAUUUUGGCACACAUACACUAAAACUGAAACACUACAGAGAAAGUUAGCAUGACCCCUGAGCAAGUAUGACACAUAUAUUCAUAAAGCACCAUGCAGUUCU